rnacentral:rRNA from 1 species
GCCCCACUAGUCUGGGAUACCACUUGGAAACAGGUGCUAAUACCGGAUAAGAAAGCGGAUCGCCAUGAUCAGCUUUUAAAAGGCGGCGUAAGCUGUCGCUAUGGGAUGGCCCCGCGGUGCAUUAGCUAGUUGGUAAGGUAAAGGCUUACCAAGGCGAUGAUGCAUAGCCGAGUUGAGAGACUGAUCGGCCACAUUGGGACUGAGACACGGCCCAAACUCCUACGGGAGGCAGCAGCC